UCCCUUCAGAAGUGCCACUUCACAUGAGGGC
rnacentral:piRNA from 2 species